AUUGAACGCUGGCGGCAGGCCUAACACAUGCAAGUCGAACGGUAGCACAGAGAGCUUGCUCUCGGGUGACGAGUGGCGGACGGGUGAGUAACGUCUGGGAAGCUGCCCGAUGGAGGGGGAUAACUACUGGAAACGGUAGCUAAUACCGCAUAACGUCGCAAGACCAAAGUGGGGGACCUUCGGGCCUCACACCAUCGGAUGUGCCCAGAUGGGAUUAGCUAGUAGGUGGGGUAAUGGCUCACCUAGGCGACGAUCCCUAGCUGGUCUGAGAGGAUGACCAGCCACACUGGAACUGAGACACGGUCCAGACUCCUACGGGAGGCAGCAGUGGGGAAUAUUGCACAAUGGGCGCAAGCCUGAUGCAGCCAUGCCGCGUGUAUGAAGAAGGCCUUCGGGUUGUAAAGCCCUUUCAGAUGGGAAGAAGGAUCGUGGAGUGAACAAUUCCACGGUCGUGACGGUACCGUCAGAAGAAGCUCCGGCUAACUCCGUGCCAGCCGCCGCAGUAA
rnacentral:rRNA from 1 species